UGUAUAUAUAAUGCUAUAUUCAAGAAUCACCUUAAACCAACAAUCUCAUUUUAGCAAGAAUUCAAUCUGUCAUCUCAAAACAUGAAUGAAUCACAAAUGUUUGGCAGUGCUGAAAAGUUUCUGGGUAAACCAGGCUCUCUACCUUAUGCAGAAGUUUGUUCGGGGUUUGGUGUCAAAACCGGCCUAGAAAAAAAGCUUGAGGAGACCUUAUCAACCAUCAAAUCUGUGCUUUUAGACGCGGAAGAACAACGGGUCUGCAGUCACGAGUUAAGAGAUUGAUUACAGAAGCUAAAAGAGGCGUGUUAUGAUGCAGAUGACAUAUUGGAUGAGUUCGAGAUUGAAGCUGUACGAAAGAAACUUCCCUUAUCAUCAGAGCGUUGGAAAAAAGGUAUGGAAGUUUUUUUUCUUGCUCAAAUCCAGUAGUUUUCCGUUUUGGGAUGGGUCAUAGGAUGAAGAAAAAAAGAGAGAGGUUUAAUGAGAUUGCAGAAAUUAAGGGUAAAUUUAAUCUCAAAGGACGAAUUAACAACAGCGGUAUGUUGCUUAGGGAGAGGGAAAUGGCUCACUUCUUUGUGCUUGCUUCAGAUGUAAUUGGUAGAGAUGAGGAUAAAGAAAAUAUCAUAAAACUAUUAAUAGAGUCGAGUGAUAAUGGAACUGUCUCCGUCAGUCAUUCCUAUUGUGGGAAUAGGAGGUCCAGGAAAAACUGCAUUUACUAAACUUCAGAUGUAAUUCAGGGUUCUAUCGAUAAUCUACAUUUCUUGAGUAUUGAAAAUUCCCACAACUUCAUGUUGUGAGAAUCACUUAAAAUGCUUUGGUUUAGGGGUUGUUCGAACUUGUCAUUUCUUCCUGAUAUACGUAGUCUCACUUCUUUGAGAAAAUUAGCAAUUCAAAGAUGUCCUGCACUAAGUGAAAGAUGCAAACACGGAACAGGUGAAGAUUGGCCUAAGAUUGCUCAUGUCCUUGAGAUAUGGCUCGAUGGCAAGAUGAUCGUAUCUAACGAUUAUUAGGUAUUGAUGAUCUUUCUCUUUUUCUAGUUCAAUUUUUAAAAUUUUAUUCUAUAGCAGUAUGAUAGAUGCUAUGUAUAUUUUCUGUCCUUGGCUCUUGUUAAGUUUAUUGAAUGUAAAUUUUUCAUCGACUAUUAAUUUCUUUCUACUCUAAUUUUAAAUUUGACUAAUUAUUUCACUGAUGGUUGGUUAUAUGGUGCAAAUUCAAGUAUGAUUGCGCAGAACUAUAAUCAGUUGAACAUCUAUUUGUUCUUGUAUGAUGGGAUUUUAUUAGACAGUCGUAUUCAGAUGGAGCUUUAAAUAAAAGAGGAGCCGUGGGCAAGUUUUUGACAUCUGCUUUGUGUCGAUACAUUUGGAGAGUUUGAUUUAUACAGAAAACUCUUUGGUGCAUGGUUUCCAUUGCUUUGGCAGAGAGGACUCUAGAUUAUUGUGGACGCUGUCAGAGGAAAAUUGAUGUUUUUGGUCUGUAUGAUUAGGAUGGUGGAGUACUUUUUGAGAUCAUCUCUAAGGAAGGUGUAGUAAGGUAGACAACCAAGUGCCUUUAGUCUCAAAUGUUAUCAGCUGUAUAAUGGAUAAUGUCCAGUUACUGGAGCAGUGGAUAAAAGUUCUCUCUCUGAUUUGUUCUGUUGUUUGGAUUAGUUGUUAAGCAUGUUUUACUUGACUGCAUCCUUGUAGCUCUCUUGCGCAUGGAUGAGAUGAAAUAACUGAUAAAUCAAGAGUAAGCUAUGUGCUUUUCUUGCUUAUUUGAUCUAUAUAUGCCUUUCAUGCUAUGGACAGAGGGUAAAACAUUCAGAAUCUUGCUGACAAUACUGAGAAUUUGCAUAAAGAGUCCCGAGUAUACAGGGAAGCAGGGACACGAAUCCAACAGAAAAUGUGGUAUCAGAACAUGAAGAUAAAGUUGGUUGUUCUUGGGAUUUUGUUAGCCCUAGUUCUGAUUAUCUGGCUUUCAGUCUGCCAUGGAUUUAACUACACCUGAACAUCUUCAACAGCUUCUGUUCUGCAGGGGAAUUUUGGUCUCAUCCCCUCAAUGUUUUAAUUUUAUACCAUCAACAAAUUUAAUUU